UGGGAGGUGGCUCAGUGGUAGAGUGCUUGCCUUGCAUGCAUGAAGCCCUGGGUUCGAUUCCUCAGCAUCACAU
rnacentral:tRNA from 1 species